UACGGAGGGUGCAAGCGUUAUCCGGAUUCACUGGGUUUAAAGGGUGCGUAGGUGGGCAAGUAAGUCAGUGGUGAAAUCUCCGGGCUUAACCCGGAAACUGCCAUUGAUACUAUUUGUCUUGAAUACUGUGGAGGUCAGCGGAAUAUGUCAUGUAGCGGUGAAAUGCUUAGAUAUGACAUAGAACACCAAUUGCGAAGGCAGCUAACUACAGGGUUAUUGACACUGAGGCUCGAAAGCGUGGGGAUCAAACAGG
rnacentral:rRNA from 1 species